rnacentral:tRNA from 1 species
GCCGGGUUAGCUCAGCUGGUUAGAGUGUGGUGCUGAUAACACCAAGGUCGCGGGUUCGAUCCCCAUUCAGUC